rnacentral:rRNA from 1 species
GACGAACGCUGGCGGCGUGCUUAACACAUGCAAGUCGAACGGUAAGGCUCUUCGGGGUACACGAGUGGCGAACGGGUGAGUAACACGUGGGUGAUCUGCCCUGCACUUCGGGAUAAGCCUGGGAAACUGGGGCUAAUACCGGAUAGGACCACUGCGUGCAUGGGUGGUGGUGGAAAGCUUUUGCGGUGUGGGAUGGGCCCGCGGCCUAUCAGCUUGUUGGGGGGGUGAUGGCCUAGCAAGGCGACGACGGGUAGCCGGCCUGAGAGGGUGACCGGCCACACUGGGACUGAGAUACGGCCCAGACUCCUACGGGAGGCAGCAGUGGGGAAUAUUGCACAGUGGGCGCAAGCCUGAUGCAGCGACGCCGCGUGAGGGAUGACGGCCUUCGGGUUGUAAACCUCUUUCAGCACCGACGAAGCGAAAGUGACGGUAGGUGCAGAAGAAGGACCGGCCAACUACGUGCCAGCCGCCGCGGUAA